rnacentral:rRNA from 1 species
UACGUAGGGGGCAAGCGUUGUCCGGAAUCAUUGGGCGUAAAGGGCGCGUAGGCGGCUUGGCAAGUGGAAGGUGAAAUCCCUCGGCUCAACUGAGGAACUGCCUUCCAGACUGCUUUGCUUGAGUCCGGGAGAGGUGAGUGGAAUUCCCAGUGUAGCGGUGAAAUGCGCAGAUAUCAGGAGGAACACCGAUGGCGAAGGCAGCUCGCUGGGACGGUACUGACGCUGAGGCGCGAAAGCGUGGGGGAGCAAACAGG